GGUUCCAUAGUGUAGCGGUUAGCACGCCUGCCUCGAGAGCAGGGUCCUGGGUUCAAUUCCCGGAGGAACCA